rnacentral:rRNA from 1 species
GUCUACGGCCAUGGUACCCUGAAUGUGCCCGAUCCCGUCUGAUCUCGGAAACUAAGCAGGGUCGGGCCUGGUGAGUACUUGGAUGGGAGACCACCUAGGAAGACCAGGUGCCGUAGGCA